GGCUCAGAUUGAACGCUGGCCCUUUGCNUAACACAUGCAAGUCGAACGGGAGUUUAGCUGCUUGCGGCUAGACUUUAGUGGCGGACGGGUGAGUAAGGCGUAGGAAUCUGCCGACUAGAGGGGGACAACAGUUGGAAACGACUGCUAAUACCGCAUAAUAGCCCUAGGGUAAAAGGACGGCGCAAGCUGUUGCUAGUUGAUGAGCCUACGUUGGAUUAGCUAGUUGGUGGGGUAAAGGCCCACCAAGGCGACGAUCCAUAGCUGUUCUGAGAGGAAGAUCAGCCACACUGGGACUGAGACACGGCCCAGACUCCUACGGGAGGCAGCAGUGGGGAAUAUUGGACAAUGGGGGCAACCCUGAUCCAGCAAUACCACGUGUGUGAAGAAGGCCUUAGGGUUGUAAAGCACUUUAGUUAGGGAAGAAGAAGGUCAGGUUAAGAGCUAGACCUGAUGACGGUACCUAAAGAAUAAGCACCGGCUAACUCCGUGCCAGCAGCCGCGGUAAUACGGAGGGUGCAAGCGUUAAUCGGAAUUACUGGGCGUAAAGGGUCCGUAGGCGGAAAGACAAGUCAGAUGUGAAAUCCCUGGGCUCAACCUAGGAAUUGCAUAUGAUACUAUUUUUCUAGAGUUAAGGAGAGGGCUGAGGAAUUUCCGGUGUAGCGGUGAAAUGCGUAGAUAUCGGAAGGAACACCAAUGGCGAAGGCAAAGGCCUGGCUUUAAACUGACGCUGAGGGACGAAAGCGUGGGUAUCGAACAGGAUUAGAUACCCUGGUAGUCCACGCUGUAAACGAUGAAUACUUGCUGUUAGCACUGGUGAAGAAGUGUUAGUGGCGAAGCAAACGCGAUAAGUAUUCCGCCUGGGGAGUACGGCCGCAAGGCUAAAACUCAANGGAAUUGACGGGGACCGCACAAGCGGUGGAGCAUGUGGUUUAAUUCGAUGCAACGCGAAGAACCUUACCCCCCCUGACAUUUACA
rnacentral:rRNA from 1 species